rnacentral:rRNA from 1 species
GCGCUGGGCAGCUACCAUGCAGUCGAGCGGUAUCAGGGGUAGCUUGCUACCCGCUGACGAGCGGCGGACGGGUGAGUAAUGCAUAGGAAACUGCCCCCCAUGGGGGGAUAGCCCGGGGAAACCCGGAUUAUUACCGCCUACUGCCUUCGGGAGAAAGCAGGGGAUCUUCGGACCUUGCGCUAUUGGAUGUGCCUAUGUCGGAUUACCUGGUUGGUGAGGUAAUGGCUCACCCCGGCGACGAUCCGAUGGUGGUCUGAGAGGAUGAUCAGCCACCUCGGGACUGAGACACGGCCCGAACUCCUACGGGAGGCAGCAGUGGGGAAUAUUGGACAAUGGGGGCAACCCUGAUCCAGCCAUGCCGCGUGUGUGAAGAAGGCUUUCGGGUUGUAAAGCACUUUCAGUGAGGAGGAAAAGUUAAUCCUUAAUACGGGCUAGCCUUGACGUUACUCACAGAAUAAGCACCGGCUAACUCCGUGCCAGCAGCCGCGGUAAUACGGAGGGUGCAAGCGUUAAUCGGAAUUACUGGGCGUAAAGCGCGCGUAGGUGGUUUGAUAAGCGAGAUGUGAAAGCCCCGGGCUUAACCUGGGAACGGCAUUUCGAACUGUCAGGCUAGAGUGUGGUGAGGGUAGUGGAAUUUCCUGUGUAGCGGUGAAUGCGUAGAUAUAGGAAGGAACACCAUGGCGAAGGCGGCUACCUGGACCGCACUGACACUGAUGUGCGAAAGCGUGGGGAGCAAACAGGAUUAGUCCC